rnacentral:rRNA from 1 species
UACGUAGGGCGCAAGCGUUAUCCGGAAUUAUUGGGCGUAAAGAGCUCGUAGGCGGUCUGUCGCGUCGAUCGUGAAAACUUGGGGCUUAACCCUGAGCUUGCGGUCGAUACGGGCAUGACUGGAGUUCGGCAGGGGAGAUCGGAAUUCCUGGUGUAGCGGUGAAAUGCGCAGAUAUCAGGAGGAACACCGGUGGCGAAGGCGGCUUCCUGGACCGACACUGACGCUGAGGCGCGAAAGCUAGGGGAGCAAACGGG